GUGGGAGAGGAGAUACGAGGUCAGGUGAUCAGGUUGUGGGGGAGGAGAUAUGAGGUCAGGUGAUCAGGUUGGGGGGGGGAGAUACGAGGUCAGGUGAUCAGGUUGUGGGGGAGGAGAUAUGAGGUCAGGUGAUCAGGUUGUGGGGGAGGAGAUACGAGGUCAGGUGAUCAGGUUGUGGGGGAGGAGAUAUGAGGUCAGGUGAUCAGGUUGUGGGGGAGGAGAUAUGAGGUCAGGUGAUCAGGUUGUGGGGGAGGAGAUAUGAGGUCAGGUGAUCAGGUUGUGGGGGAGGAGAUACGAGGUCAGGUGAUCAGGUUGUGGGGGAGGAGAUAUGAGGUCAGGUGAUCAGGUUGGG